CCACUUGGGGAUGGGUUCGGAGCUUCCGUAAGGGACAAUUUGCAUAGUAUAAAUGAGGGAUUCAGGUUUUCCUCAUGGUGUUCUGAAAGACGUUGAUGUUGAUACUGGGGUUUGACAUCAGUCUACUAAAUCGGAAAUGUUGGCAUUCCUGGAGUUGUUACUUCGCCCCUGGAACCGGGAAUGUCUAUCCACUGAAGUUGGAGCUCAACCUCGCCGCGCUCCACAUUGCGGAGCCGGAGCACCAUGUCUUGCACCAAUUUACCGUCGCUCCACACUAUACAGCUCUCCUCCGCCAAGCAGUUGUCCC